UACGUAGGGGGCAAGCGUUGUCCGGAAUCAUUGGGCGUAAAGAGCGUGUAGGCGGCCAGAUAAGUCCGCUGUGAAAUCUCGAGGCUCAACUUCGAGCUGUCGGUGGAAACUGUCUGGCUAGAGUCCGGAAGAGGAGAAUGGAAUUCCUGGUGUAGCGGUGAAAUGCGCAGAUAUCAGGAGGAACACCGGUGGCGAAGGCGGGUCUCUGGGCCGAUAUUGACGCUGAGGAGCGAAAGCGUUGGGAGCGAACAGG
rnacentral:rRNA from 1 species